UACGGAGGGCGCAAGCGUUGUUCGGAAUCACUGGGCGUAAAGCGCGUGUAGGCGGCUUGGUAAGUCGGGUGUGAAAGCCCGGGGCCUAACCCCGGAACUGCACUCGAAACUGCCUCGCUAGAGUCUCGGAGAGGGUGGUGGAAUUUCCGGUGUAGAGGUGAAAUUCGUAGAUAUCGGGAGGAACACCAGCGGCGAAGGCGGCCACCUGGACGAUGACUGACGCUGAGACGCGAAAGCGUGGGGAGCAAACAGG
rnacentral:rRNA from 1 species